CAUCGCUAUACCAUAUUGUUACCAGGAGUGUUCUUGACGACACGUUCAAUAUCGGAUUUUCGACGAUUUAUCAAUGCGCGUGUUUUGCACUUACCAUAAUAUCGUUAUCAUUAGACAGUAUUAUUUAUUUACCGUGUUAUUCAUAUAUUCGCGUGUGUGGGUAAUUUCAAUAAUUAAUUAUUUUAUAAUGUUACACUAAUCGCGCAUUCGUAUAUAUUAUAUAAAUACACACACACACGCGCACUACAGUAUCUAGUGCCUAACUGUUUUGCAUAAAAGUAACAUCAUUGUUCGGAAAUCAUUUACAUAAUGCAACGC